GGGAAACGUCACGAAAAUUAGUAAAUAAACCUCUUCGUUCAGCUUUUUUCAAGACCACGUACGCUGUGUAGAAUUUUACGAACAAAGAAAAUGCCUUCAAAAGCACGUUCAAAAGUUGGAAUCACCCUAUUAAUGAUUUUACUGAAAAUAAAGCCAACGACGCAUGCUCACAACGAUAAAGGAGGAGGUGACCUGGUCAUCACCGCCCCCUUUGUACGUUCUAUUUCAUAAAAUAUGUUCAAUACAAUGCAUAAAAAUUAUAGGCGCCCGCCUGGUAACAAAACACAUUUCAUCGCAUUGUUAUCACUAACAAACCAGAGGGAAAACCCAUUCCCCAAUCUAUCUGAAUAUCUCAAAACAAUUAAAUGAACAAAUUACCUUGGCGGCCGCACGUAACGGGCGGAAAGGGAUUACGGCGUGCGGUGAUGCCGCACGCUUUUAUAUUUUGUUUCCCCGGAAAAUAGUUCCAAAAAUAAACUCCCACUACCACCGGUGUCGCGGGCAUGUCUCGCAAAUCCAGCAGCGUCUCUCUGAGCGCCCCAUGGGGGCGGCUCGGUUCCGCGAGACCAUCAUCCGUUCCCGUCUCACAGUAGCCGGCGGGAUGCAUCAUCUGCAACGUGCCAGCCAGCCCGCCCACUCGUACACACACCCCGUGUAUUUCUGGCCAGGAUGUCGCACGGCUCCGCGCGGCAUUAAAGUUUCAUAAACUGCAGACCUGUCCAUCAAAACGAAGCCAUCACUGACACACGUCGGCUGCGGCCAGCCUCGUCGGGCCAGCCUCAAUAAGUUCGUUUCCGAGAGAGGCCCUGUGGGAUGGUCCAUUUGACCUAAGAUCGUGGGGAAGCCGUAAAUGAGUUUGAAAGGGAUGUAAACGAUUACGCUGGAUCAUGAAGGCCAUUUCUUCAAUCGUGUGGUGGGGGGUGGGGGGUGGUAAUGGCCACCUGUCCUUAAAAUAGUCCGACAUGUUCGACACGGCACACAUUGCACUGCGCCAGCCUCUCCAUCCCGAACAUCCGAUUUUAAUUAUCGUAACUCAAGCACGCUAAUAUAUUUAAAGGCUAAUGGGAUUUACAAGAUUUAUACAUCAAAUUGAUGAAAUUAACUGCGGUUCCCCAACCAGGGUGCUAGUGCUAGCGCCAGCUGUCAGGCUAUAAGCUCUCCCUUUUGUGCCAUUUGCAACACAAUAUGAAACUCGCGAAAGCCCCAGCAUCAGCACACUCAACGUCAUUACUCGCCGGCGCUAAACCCCUCCACGUGCCGAUCUGGCGCUGCGUUCCUUUCAGUCCAAAGCGCCGUCCGUACAAUUCGUCCACCGUAAUUCACUGAAAACAAAACAGCAUUGACGAGCGGCGUAAAUUAAACCUCAAUUGCGGCCAACCGCGAGCCAUUUUUGAAGCCUUGUCUUGCACAGGAUGCGAGAUUAUUUAUUUAGUUUGUCGGUACAAAAGCCGCCGCGCUAAUUGGCUUCCCAGGCACUGGGCAGCAUUGGCGAAGAGCGAUAGACGGCCAAUUUCAAAAGCAAUCACCGCGCGGAAAGUUCACCUAAAAUAUCACAUUUAGCCGGCAAUCCGAUCAGCCACGCUAAUGCUGUCAUCACGAAAUGGGGGGGGGGGGGAGAUGAUUGAAACAAAUAAAUGCUGACAAAGGAAACUAAUCUCACUUUAAAAAUGUGGCAUUAUCGGAGAAAGCUCAAGCAAACGCGUGAAUAAAAAUGUCUGCGAUGGCGGUAAUCACUCGUGUCUCCCACAUUCACAGCACCAACACCCCUCCUGAGUGCCCAUGUGCGUUUGUAAUUUGGCGACGGGCAACGUGCACCGGUGCUGGCACCGUGUCACCAUGAAGCUGAAAAGCUUUGUCAUUUUGCCGAAUUGUACGGACGGCGCUUUGGACUGAAAGGAACACAGCGCCAGAUCGGCACGUGGAGGGUUUUAGCGCCGGCGAGUAAUGACGUUGAGUGUGCUGAAAAGCUUCAUGUCACCAUGAAGCUGAAAAUGGGAUUCGUGCGAACGCUCGAAUGCUGCUUUUGAAGCUGGCUUGGGCAAAGAAGAGCUGAGCGAACGCUUCGGCAAGAUGACAAAGCUGCCCAAAUUUUUGCAGUUUUAGCGAUGUUCCUGCCCGACUCUUAAAUUAUUGCUGCCAAUUAGCUUGAGAUAUCUAGAGCUGUAAUUGUGGCCAAGGAUUAUAUGCAUCUUAAUUAAGCCGUCGCCAUCCAGCAAUACUGACUUGACUCUGGAAUCGCACGACAAAAAAUACAAUUCGAAACUGAAAAUGAUGCAAAACUUUCCACGAAAACACUCAAAUAAUGAGCUGCAGUAGAAGCCGUUAGCAGACACCUAACAAAUUAAAAAGUGCAAACAACCUUCUCUCUCAUUCUAACAAACGGUGCGAGCGGCACUAAUUAAACAGAAAGAAGUUUUAAAAAUGUAAUCUCGCAGCCAGGCCAAAUCCCAGUGGCCGCAGGACGGUUGGUACAGUCCAGUUUGCGGUGGCCACUGCCAGGGCGAAGAGGGCAACAAGGGCUCGGAAACAACAGUGGCACAACCUUUUAAAAUGGCAUCAUUCAUCUCCGUGCAGGUAAAUGUUCAAACGACGUUCAUUGUUAGAGCGACAGAUUUAUCAUUUUCACACCUAAACUUUAGCAGCGUGGGAAGCAGAAUUCUCUUUCUUGUACUCCACAUUCGUGGCAAGCACGUCGCGCUCAUAUUCCAUACCGAUCGCGCAACGCGCAAUGCCACGCUCAAUAAGCGUUCCCUUUGUAAACGGAAUGGCUGUCGACUUCAGCUGCACGCUCGCAGGUGCGCGCCUCCGUGGCAGACGUCAUCAGCCGCGUGGCGCGGGGGGCAAUCAGCCUCCACGACUUGCUGCCCGCUCACGCACACGCUGCACACACAACGCACACCGGUAAGAAACGGCGCCCGUGACAGUACCGGCUUCACAUUCCCUAUUGCCGUACAAAAACUGGAGGAAGGGCCCUUUGCUAUUGAUGGCCCCAGGGUCUGGAACGCUAUUGCUCUGCUGCGCUUUGAAGCGAAUUCUCUCUGUUGCCAUCUCGUCUGCCACGCAGGAGAGGCCAAUAUCCUCAUUGCUUCCUAAAGCAGAGAGAGCUACACUCUGGAAGGAGGUGGAGGGAGCUGUGCUAUCGCCUCUAGGCAUCAGGCAACCUGCCCAGCUGCCCGCCCGUGCCCACCCAUGCCCCCGUCCCCGUCCGUGCCAUGACUCCAAGCUGUCAGACUUGCCCUUUGAAGGAGGCGAGGGCUCUGCAGAGACCUCGUUACCACUCGGCCCACCAAGCGAGACGGCCGCGGGACCGUUCACGCCACCCUGGGUCCUGACACUGCGCCAUCACGAAAACGUUCCCAGCCAGCCGGCGUGAGUUUCAUCGCGAGGUGUUGAUUGUGACCCGCGCCGAGGGGAGGCGCGAGCUGCUGCGCUGGAAACUGCGGCGACAAUGGCGUCAAUUCGUCGAGAUUAGUAAAACAAUAAUAAUAAUAAUUACUGAUGCAGUGUGAUGUACACGUCCUGCAGGUGCAAAAUUAAUACAACACAAUAUGGAUUUACAGUAUGUCUCGAUGCAACCGCAUCUCGCGAUGCUGCACAAAACAAUGGGACACGGCCAUCCCAAGGAAAGAAGGAAGCAAUAUUUAUUCAUUUGUUUUUUUUACAUAGCCAAAGAGGCGACCAGCCAUGGGCAGGGAGAAUAGGGAAAGAUCUCGAGCCGCGACUUGAACGAGGGCAGGCAGUCAACAGCACAGGCGACCGCCAAGCGCGCACACGCUCACACACACAGACGAGUAGGUCAAGUGCGGUUGUGCACACGGCGCCAGAGACAAUUCGCCGAGCGUGCCUGCAGAGCGGAUUUAUGCGACAGCACAUCGUGGGGAGCUCGGGCACGGCGUCCAAACAAUUCAACCAGUGGGUUUUGUGCACAGCCUGGUUAGAACCCACCGACACAAAAUAACUUAUGACUUAGAGCCGGGGAGAGGUAGUCCGUUGUUCACACUUUUGUAACAUUCAGCACAAGUCGGAGGACACAACUCCUGGAAGCUGGCAACAACAUCGGGCACACAAGAGCCAUAAAUCCCGGAUUCUUUCUUCCCGACACGCGGCUCAAGACUCAUCGUGGCACUUUUUACAUCGUCCGCCCGACCUUGUGGGACGAAACGCGACUCAACAAACUGGAGGAGGCGGGGAUAAAACUUCCAGCAAUUGACGUCCGCUGCUUGCCACGCCGGGGCGCGUGCCGAAGAGAGGCCAUCCGUGACCCUUGGCAGGAUUUAUGGCGACGCCAGCCACUGCCCGGGCCGGGUGGCACCGCGGCCAUUCACCAUCCUCGCGUGGGGGUACCGCGCUCGCAGGCGCGCGGCUCGCGAGACAGCGGUGCCACCGCCACCGACGACCCCCGCUGCUCCCCGCCCCGUGACCUGCUCGCUGUACCGCGCGGAGAACACACGUGUGCGUGUGUGUGCGUGCGCGCAGGGCGCCUCCAUCUUGGGCAGGGGGGGGGGGGGGGUAUGUCCCUCGUUCUGUGAUUUAUUCAUCUCUUUGUUGCUCCUCUCUCUUCACAGCUUUGCGUCCUAGGAGGCCACACUGAUAGGCCACGCCGAGUGUUUCAUAAUGAUGCACACUUUAUUUAACUGCGUUCGUGUGAUAUUGCUAUUAUUUAUUACAAGACGCAAUUUGGAUUAAUGCAGUGCCUAAAUGCGAUAUUAUCUCAAAUACGCUUUACAGAACCAGCUGGAAUAUUUAUUAAAGCGUUUCCCAUUUUA